UGCAUCGUGCUGACAUUCAUUCCCACCC
rnacentral:piRNA from 1 species